rnacentral:rRNA from 1 species
GCUUGUCUCAAAGAUUAAGCCAUGCAUGUCUAAGUAUAAACAACUUUAUACAGUGAAACUGCAGAUGGCUCAUUAAAUCAGUUAUAAUUUAUUUGAUGAUUAACUUUACUACAUGGAUAACCGUAGUAAUUCUAGAGCUAAUACAUGCGAAAAGUCCUGACUUCUUCGUGAGGGAGGGAUGUAUUUAUUAGAUACAAUCAAACGCACCAACAUAAAACCUUGGUGAUUCAUAAUAACUGUUCGGAUCGUAUGGCUUUUUGCCGACGACAGAUCAUUCAAAUUUCUGCCCUAUCAGCUUUCGACGGUACUGUAGUGGACUACCGUGGCAUUAACGGGUGACGGAGAAUUAGGGUUCGAUUCCGGAGAGGGAGCCUGAGAAAUGGCUACCACAUCCAAGGAAGGCAGCAGG